GGCGUGGAUGUUCCACCGCAAGACCGGCUUUAGCACGGCCUAUGUCGGCAGUUCGAAUCUGUCGCACGCCGCCA
rnacentral:tRNA from 1 species